rnacentral:rRNA from 2 species
CAUUCAGUUGGGCACUCUAAGGGGACUGCCGGUGAUAAGCCGAGAGGAAGGUGGGGAUGACGUCAAGUCCUCAUGGCCCUUACGGGCUGGGCUACACACGUGCUACAAUGGUGGUGACAGUGGGCAGCGAGACCGCGAGGUCGAGCUAAUCUCCAAAAGCCAUCUCAGUUCGGAUUGCACUCUGCAACUCGAGUGCAUGAAGUUGGAAUCGCUAGUAAUCGUGGAUCAGAAUGCCACGGUGAAUACGUUCCCGGGCCUU